AUUGAACGCUGGCGGCAUGCUUUACACAUGCAAGUCGAACGGUAACAGGUCUUUCGGGAUGCUGACGAGUGGCGAACGGGUGAGUAAUGUAUCGGAACGUGCCCAGUAGUGGGGGAUAACUACUCGAAAGAGUGGCUAAUACCGCAUGAGAUCUCUGGAUGAAAGCGGGGGACCGUAAGGCCUCGCGCUACUGGAGCGGCCGAUAUCAGAUUAGGUUGUUGGUGAGGUAAAGGCUCACCAAGCCGACGAUCUGUAGCUGGUCUGAGAGGACGACCAGCCACACUGGGACUGAGACACGGCCCAGACUCCUACGGGAGGCAGCAGUGGGGAAUUUUGGACAAUGGGCGCAAGCCUGAUCCAGCAAUGCCGCGUGCAGGACGAAGGCCUUCGGGUUGUAAACUGCUUUUGUACGGAACGAAAAGCCUUCUUCUAAUACAGGAGGGUCAUGACGGUACCGUAAGAAUAGGCACCGGCUAACUACGUG
rnacentral:rRNA from 1 species